AGCAGCCGCGGUAAUUCCAGCUCCAAUAGCGUAUAUUAAAGUUGUUGCAGUUAAAAAGCUCGUAGUUGAAUUUCGGGGUUCAUCCGUUGGUCGGGCUUUUUUGGUCUGUACUGGCGUGAUGGAUUCCUACCUUCUGAAUAACCAGCAUGUCAUUAAUUUGGUGCGCUGGGGAAGCAGGACUGUUACCUUGAAAAAAUUAGAGCGCUUAAAGCAGGCUAUCGCCUGAAUACAUUAGCAUGGAAUAAUGAAAUAGGACGGCAUGGUUCUAUUUUGUUGGUUUUUAGGAUCACCGUAAUGAUUAAUAGGGAUAGUUGGGGGCAUUAGUAUUCAAUUGUCAGAGGUGAAAUUCUUGGAUUUAUUGAAGACUAACUUCUGCGAAAGCAUUUGCCAAGGAUGUUUUCAUUAAUCAAGAACGAAAGUUAGGGGAUCGAAGACGAUCAGAUACCGUCGUAGUCUUAACCAUAAACUAUGCCGACUAGGGAUCGGAUGAUGUUAAUUUUUUAAUGACUC
rnacentral:rRNA from 1 species